CAGGGCCGGAUUAAGAGCACAGUGGGCCUGGUGCUGACCAUUAUGAUGGGCCUAAUUACGGAAUCUUAUCGACCAAAAACACUAAAACAGUCAUACCUCCCAAGCGUCAUAUAUCUGAUGGAGAUGGUGCUGGAGGGAAACUCAUAGAAUGCAGCUAUAAGAAAACACAUACUCUAUGCUAAUCUCUCUAAUGUAUGCUUUCAUCUUUCAAGUAAAUCCAUACCCCCUAACAGCAGUGUCCAGUGAAGCAGGAAGUCAAUGGGCGGGGUAAAAGGGUGUGCCACUGGCACGAAUCACGUGACAAGACCUGCCAAAAAGGGGGCAUGUUUGUCCAAAGAAUUGGAAGGUCAGCCUGGCAUGAAUAAAUGUCAGGCUGCCUGCCAAUCCUGCAGGCUGUCCAACUAAGGGCAUACUAUGCAGGCAGCACCUUGAGCUUGACAUAAAUGCGUCUAAUAAUGCGCUCACUCCAUGCUUUCUAAGGACUUUCCCCUAGCACUCGCUGGUCCACUUGUCUCCUUACCUUCUUACUAGCAGGCAGAAGUUCCUGGUUUGUAGUCAGAGACAGAGAAAAGGUGUAUGUAGUGAGUGUAGAAGAAAGGGGACAUGCCACAGAGACCAACGUCUGCAUUACCUAAACUAACUUUAAUGUCAGCCAGUCCACACAAGUUUUGUUCCCAUACAUCCCUCUUAAGCUUCCAAACCUAAAGGGACACUAUAGUCACCAGAACAACUACAGCUUAUUGUAUUUGUUCUAGUAAGUAGAAUAAUUCCAUUCAGGCUUUUUGCGGUAAACACUGUCUUGUCAGAGAAAAUAACUCCACUGGCCACUCCUUAGAUGGCUGCUAGAGGUGCUUCCUGGGGCAGUACUGCCUAGUCUGCAGCACUGCCAUUCAGUGUCUCCACCCUCUGCAAGCAGACACUGAACUUUCCUCAUAGAGAUGCAUUGAUUCAAUUUAUCUUUAUGAGGAGAUGCUGAUUGGCCAGGGCUAUGUUGGACUUGUACUGGCUCUGCCUAGUUGACAGUCUCAGCCAAUCCUAUGGGGAAGUAUUGUAAUUUGCUCAGACUACCACUUCUGAGCCAGCAGCUGCAGACUUGAAUACAAGUAAUAUUUUACUAUAGGGAGGCAAGAAGGGGCCAGGGUGGUGGUUUUAACAUAAUAUGGUCAGAAAUACAUGAUUGUGUUACUGACCCUAUAGUGCUCCUUUAGGCAAGAAUAUGUGAAGAGUAGUUAAGGUUGCCACCUUUCUUGGAAAAAAAUACCAGCCUUAAUCAUUUGUAUAAUUAAUUAGUUAUGCGUGACAUCACAUGAUGUAAAUCACAAGGAGUGACAGCAGAGAAAAUUCUGUAAAAUCACCAACAAACUAUUCACAGUUUGAUUCUGCUGUAUAGAUGGAUUGCUCCCAGUGUCUCAGUCUCACAAGUCACCUAGUGUCUCAGUGUCCCUAUGUAUCACAGUGUCCCCAUGUCACCCAGUCCCCUAGUCUCCCAGUGUCUGUGUCCCCAUUUCUCCCAAUGUCCCAGUGUGUCCCCAUGUCACAAGGAUACUGGGGACACUGAGAGACCCGGGGACACAGAGACAUGGGGACACUGAGACAUUUAGGGAAACUGGGAGAAAUGGGGACACUAAGACUCUAGGGACACAGAGACAUGGGAACACAGACACUGGGAGACUAGGGGACACUGGGAGACAGACACUUGGGGACACUGGGAGACUAGGGGACACUGGGAGACAUGGGGACAGUUGUGGACAUAGACAUGGGGACACUGGGACAUAUAGGGACACUGGGAGACAUGGGGACACCAGGCACGCUGAGACACUAGGAACACAGACACUGGGAGACAUGGGGACACUGAAACAUUUGGGGAGACUAAGACACUAGGGACACAGACACUGAGAGACUAGGGGAUACUGGGAGACUAUGGGACACUGGCUGGGAGACAGACAUUUGGGGACACAUGGGGACAGUUGUGGACAUAGACAUGGGGACACUGGGACAUAUAGGGACACUGGGACACAUGGGGACACUAGGCACACUGAGAGAUAUGGGACACAGACACUGGGAGACUUGGGGACACUGAGACACUAGGGACACUGGCUGGGGGACAUGGGAACAUAGUGUCUCAGUGUCCCAAUGUCUCCCAAUGUCCCUAUGUCUCACAGUAUCCCCAUGUGUCUCAGUGUCCCCAAGUUUCUCAGUGUCCCCAUGUUUUCCAGUGUCCCCAAGUGUCUCAGUGUCCCCAAGUUUUCCAGUGUCCCCAAGUGUCUGUGUCCCCAGGUCUCCCAGUGUCUGUGUCCCCAUGUGUCCUAGUGUCCCAGUGUCCCCUAGAGUCUCAGUGUCCCAAUAUAUCCCCUAGUGUCUCAGUGUCCCCUAGUGUCCCUAUGUUUUCCAGUGUCCCUAUGUUGUCUCAUUGUCCCCUAGUGUCUGUGUCCCCUAGUGUCUCAGUGUCCCCAUAUGUCCCCUAGUGUCUCAGUGUCCCCAUGUCCUCAGUGCCUCAGUGUCCCCUUUCCCCCCAUCCCUUACUUACCUGAGCUGCUGUCUGGACUCUGUGCUGUGUUGCUGCUCCCCCAUGGAUCAGUGAGUAGUAGAGAGAGGCAGGGAUAUUCUGGAACUUCCUAUCCCUGCCUCUCUCCACACACACACUGACCCCUACUGGCCGGUGCUGGUAUUGCAGAGUAAUUUCCAUUUAUUCUGAGAAAAUUAUCUGCAUUUGUAUUGCCGGUAUUACUGCAAUACCGGCACGGCCAGGCAGACUCAAAUACCGGCUGUGCCAGUAAAAUACCAGCCAGGUGGCAAACCUAAGAGUAUUGUGUAAAAAAAA